AUUGAUUUUAUGCUUGCAUAAAUGAUUUUUGGAUUCGGAGCGAGUGGCGAACUGGUGAGUAACACGUGGGUAACCUGCCCCGAAGCGGGGGAUAACAUUUGGAAACAAGUGCUAAUACCGCAUAAUUAGUUGGAACCGCAUGGUUCCAACUUGAAAGAUGGCUCUGCUAUCACUUUGGGAUGGACCCGCGCCGUAUUAGUUAGUUGGUGAGAUAAAAGCCCACCAAGACGAUGAUACGUAGCCGACCUGAGAGGGUAAUCGGCCACAUUGGGACUGAGACACGGCCCAGACUCCUACGGGAGGCAGCAGUAGGGAAUCUUCCACAAUGGACGAAAGUCUGAUGGAGCAACGCCGCGUGAGUGAUGAAGGUUUUCGGAUCGUAAAACUCUGUUGUUAAAGAAGAACAAGUGUUAGAGUAACUGUUAACACUUUGACGGUAUUUAACCAGAAAGCCACGGCUAACUACGUGCCAGCAGCCGCGGUAAUACGUAGGUGGCAAGCGUUGUCCGGAUUUAUUGGGCGUAAAGCGAGCGCAGGCGGUUUUGUAAGUCUGCUGUGAAAGCCCUCAGCUCAACUGAGGAAGUGCAGUGGAAACUACAAAACUUGAGUACAGAAGAGGAAAGUGGAACUCCAUGUGUAGCGGUGAAAUGCGUAGAUAUAUGGAAGAACACCAGUGGCGAAGGCGGCUUUCUGGUCUGUUACUGACGCUGAGGCUCGAAAGCAUGGGUAGCGAACAGGAUUAGAUACCCUGGUAGUCCAUGCCGUAAACGAUGAAUACUAGGUGUUGGAAGGUUUCCGCCCUUCAGUGCCGCAGCUAACGCAUUAAGUAUUCCGCCUGGGGAGUACGACCGCAAGGUUGAAACUCAAAGGAAUUGACGGGGGCCCGCACAAGUGGUGGAGCAUGUGGUUUAAUUCGAUGCUACGCGAAGAACCUUACCAGCUCUUGACAUCUUCUGCCAACCCAAGAGAUUGGGCGUUCCCUUCGGGGACAGAAUGACAGGUGGUGCAUGGUUGUCGUCAGCUCGUGUCGUGAGAUGUUGGGUUAAGUCCCGCAACGAGCGCAACCCUUAUUAUUAGUUGCCAGCAUUUAGUUGGGCACUCUAGUGAGACUGCCGGUGAUAAA
rnacentral:rRNA from 1 species